CGCCUCACGGCGUGUGUGCCCUUCCCCCUUUUCCCGGUCCCCAGGCCUGACCCCCGGCACUGGGCCCGUGACUCAGCCUCCGGGAAAAGGGGAAUAAACAGCUACAAACGCAUCACGAGUAGUCUGAAAUUGCUGGGGAUGGACAACAACAACCCUGGCAGGCACCGGCAGCAGGCAGUGUGACUGGCAGAUGACAGGAUGGGGUGCUGAAGCUGCCCCGAGGAGACCAUCAUUUAUGCAAUCACGACUACAAUGUAACAAAACAACGGAGGCAAUUGAGCCUUCUGGUCCUGACAGCAGUGUGGGCUUAGAAAGAGGACGCUCAGCACCCCAUGGUGACCCAAGGAUUGGCUUAAAAUUGCAAUGUUCCUUGGAGUGGGAGCAACCACCCAACUUCCACUGGUGAUUUGGUGAAUCAGUCCCAACCCCUGGAUCAGCUGCUGCUGUGUGAAUAUAUAAGGCUCUAAAUUCCUACCUCUUUACUGUCGCCUUACUCCUAAACUCCAGCUUCACUUGCUGCCGCAGCCAGCACUUUCCAACAUGCCUGCCUGGAGUUAAGAUCUUGAACCCACAUUUAAGCACCUUGGCAAACACAGUCUGAGGGUUUGCACACCCUCUAUCUGAGCUUUUGCAUGCAAAACACCCUGUUAAUAAUUAUCUGCAGCAUGGGAGUUGGCAUCUCUGUCUCUCUGGAUGUGAACCCCUGAGUGUUUUCCAAGGAGCUCUGCAACCAGGGUGGCUUAGGGUCAGGGUUAUGGUCAAAAAUGUGAAGAUGCUUUGCCCUGUGCUGGCAGCCAAAGGUGCUCAUAGAUUAUGCAUGGAGGUAGAUGUGGGAGCACUCCAGGCAGACACUGCAGCUGCACCCGGGUCCUGCAGCCUCCAGCACCUUCUGCUACAGCCAGGAAUCAAUAAUCCAAACUGCUUGGACACUGCCAAUGCAGAUGUCUUAGCAGCUAAAUACCUUCCAGUCAUCCCUCCCUGCAGCGCCACCACUGAAGGAAAAAUUCCUUUCUCAUAGUGCUAAAUAUCCUUAUUUCUUAGCAUUGCAGCUCUAAAUUGACAGGUGCUGGGGGGGGUGGGGGGUGGGGUGGGAUUAAGGGCACGCUCCUGGGCAAAGGUCUCCUGCAAACUCCUUAGGGCCAGCUGGCUACAGGCUCUGAUCCCUGGGGUCACGCGCUCCCCUCCAAAACAAGGGCCACUUGUUCGGCACCACAGUUAGGGCUGGGUUCGGUGCAGGAGGCAGCCGGCUGCCUUCAGCCGAGUGGAGCUCCCUGCACUGGGAGGGUGUUCUGGGGGUGUCCCAAGCAGUCAGUGCCAGAGGGGACCCCAACACCAGGCAGCUCUGGCUGGUGUGACACGUGGUUUCUGGACAGCAAUGGCCAAAAUCAAGUGCAGGUCCUCGAAACCCCCUUUGCAUUUCUGAAUUUAUUUUCACAGACUGAAAAGGCAGGGCUCAAAGGGAGCCUGUCUUUGUGAGUGGCAUGGUGGUAUGACCUGUUCCUGCCUUGCCCUAACCCCCAAAACCUGAGAUCAAAGGUUAUCAAAGAAGCAUCCUACAACCAGCCCCAGUAGCUAAACCCCCUUCAAGCUGUAGCAGCAGUGGAAAACUGCUGGGUACCAGCAACCCCUUGAAGGAGGGAAGAUUAAAAUCCCUCAGAAAGCCAAGAGCUGAGGGGCACCCCAAGCAUUAAAGAGCUUAUUGCAGAUGCCCCUAAGACAGAAACAAGUUUACCCUUACAAUAGGAGGUGAAACUGCAGCAGUACUUGCUGAAAGGUGUUUUUGAUGCUCCACCUUUGGAGCAGGGCAGAAGAGAGCAGUUUUUUGAUGACACAUCUUUGGAGCAAAGCAGUAAGUCAGUUUUGAUGCUACAUGUUCGAGCCACGGCUGGAAGAAGCUGCACUUGGCCCGAUAUGAUGCAAUCCCGUGAACCCUGAGUUUCCUUCCUUUUUCCCAUUUUGGGCACAUUUUGCUUUGUCAUCUCCUGCUGUGCUGACAGUGCUGGAGGAAGGCACGUGGCACCUACCCCCUGCCUCAGCAGCUUGCACCCUGCAAUGGCUCACGUGGGCCUUUCCCCACUACCCCUGACUUAGAUAAUUUCCUCUCACUCAAGGCAUCUGACCAAGUUCCUGCUGGCACUGUCCAGGCAAUGGCCAAGGUGAUGGGUUGGAGUGGCAGAGUGUCUAGAACCACCAACACAACCAUCACCACAUCCUUGUCCCCGCCACCAGCUGCCACCGAAGCAGCCAGCUGUGCACAGUGAGCGGGGCUGGAGAUGGGUGCUUGGAUCCCCGCACCAAGCUGGGUGGUAUCUGGCCUGCAUAAAAGUGGGAUGAACAGCUGUACCUGCUUACCAGAUGUGUUGAGCAUCCCAUAAUUAAUGUUUCCUCAGCAAUUGUGGCUAAUGGGUGCUUAGUGUUAUUAGCCAAUGACGAGUAGCUGAUGUUGUUGAUGUUGCUACCUCAAAACAUUUAAUUUCAGCAUCUGGAUUAAGCAAAAGGGCCAGGGGCCAGACUGGCA